GGCUUUAUAGUUCAGGGAUUAGAACACUAGCCUUGUAAACCAGGGGUUGUGAGUUCAAAGCUCACUGGGGUAU
rfam:Chelonia mydas contig154079, whole genome shotgun sequence.